GAUCAAUUUCACCUUUACUUUAAAAUUUGUAUUUAUGCAUUUGUUUGCAAAAGUAUGCCUGUCUUUAACAUUACUACCAUGUUCACUUCCCUCAAAGUAGUACAUAAAAAUAACAAUUCAAGCUUUUAUAUAUUUUAUUGUUACCAAGCUUCCACAGAACAUGUGUGCAAACUUCAGGUUUCCCAUCUCAAACAAAUCUCCAUUCCCAAACUAAGCUAACCAAAAACCUUCAAGUCAGCAAACACACAAAAUUCAUUAAAGAGAAACCUCAAAUAAUGUUUUUAAAAAUCAAACUUGAGAACUAACCUUUUAUAAUUAAACUAAGUUGUUGCACCUUUCCUUUCAUAUGCAUGCACCGGGCUAAAGACUUCCAAAACAGACCCCAUACUUGGCACAAGGACAUUUCAAAGAAGAAACAAAAACAAAAGGAAGAAGAAAAUAGAAAGGAAAAGAGGUUUACGCUAACUGACUGCAAGUUUAGUCCACUUCCUCGAUGGUCGGUCCCCCGGAGGCUCCAGUACCGCCGCCACCGCCAGGGCCGCCUUGGUAAAGUUUGCUGAUGAUGGGGUUGCACACUCUUUCGAGCUCUUUCUGCUUGUGUUCAUACUCAUCUUUCUCCGCCAUCUGGUUUCGGUCGAGCCAGUUGAUCACCUCCUGACACUUGUCGAGGAUCUUGUUUUUGUCCUGCUCGCUAAUCUUGCCCCUCAGUUUCUCGUCUUCCACCGUCUGCUUGAUGUUGUAGGUAUAGGACUCCACGGCGUUUUUGGCGGCUACCCGGUCGCGAUUGGCCUCAUCUUCCGACUUGUACCGCUCAGCCUCCUGCACCAUCCGGUCAAUGUCGUCCUUGCUUAGACGACCUUUGUCGUUGGUGAUGGUGAUUUUGUUUUCUUUACCGGUGCUCUUGUCGAACUUGCCCAGCAGGUUAUUGUCCUUUGUCAUGGCCCGUUCGCCCUCGUACACCUGCACCAGCACGCUGCUCUGGUUGUCUGAGUAGGUGGUGAAGGUCUGCGUCUGCUUCGUGGGGAUCGUGGUGUUCCUUUUGAUGAGUGGAGUCAUGACGCCGCCAGCCGUCUCGAUGCCCAGCGAGAGCGGGGUCACGUCGAGUAGCAGCAGGUCCUGCACGUUCUCGGACUUGUCCCCGAUCAGGAUCGCUGCCUGCACAGCGGCUCCGUAGGCCACCGCCUCGUCAGGGUUGAUGCUCUUGUUCAGCUCCUUGCCGUUGAAGAAAUCCUGCAGCAGCUUCUGGAUCUUGGGGAUGCGAGUGGAGCCGCCCACCAGCACGAUCUCCUGGAUCUGGCCCUUGUCCAGCUUGGCGUCGCGCAGCGCCUUCUCCACCGGCUCGAGGGUCCCGCGAAACAGGUCUGCGUUGAGCUCCUCAAAGCGGGCCCGGGUGAUGGACGUGUAGAAGUCCACGCCCUCGUAGAGCGAGUCGAUCUCGAUGCUCGCCUGUGUGGACGAGCUCAGGGUGCGCUUAGCGCGCUCGCAGGCGGUGCGGAGUCGCCGCACCGCGCGCUUGUUGGGCCCAAUGUCCUUCUUGUGCUUGCGUUUGAACUCCUCGGCCAAGUGGCUCACCAUGCGGUUAUCGAAGUCCUCGCCGCCCAGGUGGGUGUCGCCAGCCGUGGACUUCACCUCGAAGAUGCCGUCCUCGAUGGUCAGGAUGGACACGUCGAAAGUGCCGCCGCCCAGGUCGAAAAUGAGCACGUUCUUCUCGCCGCCCGCGCAGCCCUUCUUGUCCAGGCCGUAGGCGAUGGCUGCCGCUGUGGCUCGUUGAUGAUGCGCAGCACAUUAAGGCCCGUGAUGGUGCCCGCGUCCUUGGUGGCCUGGCGCUGAGAGUCAUUGAAAUAGGCGGGGACGGUGAUGACCGCGCUCUGCACCUUGCCCCCCAGGUAGGCUUCGGCGAUCUCCUUCAUCUUAGUGAGGACCAUGGAAGAGAUCUCCUCCGGGAAGAAGGUCUUGAUCUCUCCCUUGUACUCCACCUGCACUUUGGGCUUCCCUCCCUCGCUCACCACCCGGAAUGGCCAGUGUUUCAUGUCCGAUUGCACUGUGGCGUCCUCGAACUUCCGUCCGAUCAGCCUCUUGGCGUCGAAGAUGGUGUUCGUGGGGUUCAUGGCCACCUGGUUCUUGGCGGCGUCGCCGAUGAGGCGCUCGGUGUCGGUGAAGGCCACGUAGCUGGGGGUGGUGCGGUUGCCCUGGUCGUUGGCGAUGAUCUCCACCUUGCCAUGUUGGAAGACCCCCACGCACGAGUAGGUAGUGCCCAGGUCGAUGCCGAUAGCCGGGCCGCGGGCAGACAUCCUGACUGAAAGACGAGCAAGCGACGUUAGACGAGAACACCUGGCACAGAAAAUCCGCGGCCUCAGCUAACGGUCGCUUGCACCACACACCACGAGCGCAACCAGCGU
rnacentral:lncRNA from 1 species